GUGAGUCAUCGAAUCUUUGAACGCACAUUGCGCCUCUCGCGAGGGAGGCAUGCCUGUCUGAGCGUCGUUUAAACCCAUAGGCACAACCUCAUCGGUUGGGGCCUGUCUUGGGCUUCGCCCCGUGGCGUCGCCUCAAUGCCAUCGGUCUCAUCCGUGGACGAGUCCCUCUAGGGCGGACCGCGUGGAGACCUAAAGUCGCAUCUGCACUUUGACCUCAGAUCAGGUAGGAAGACCGCCUGAACUUAAGCAUAUCAAUAAGCGGAGGA
rnacentral:misc_RNA from 1 species